rnacentral:tRNA from 1 species
ACUUAAGUAGUUUAAAAAAAAUAUUGGUCUGUGAAUCCAAAGAUGUAAAUAUUAUCUUGAGUA